GUAUUUUAAUCAUUUAUUUUGAUAGCUCAUCUUCAAAGGAAAUUUUCUGUUAAGCUUGCUCACAUAUUGUAUAGACACGCGUCUCUCCUUGGAUGGUGCAUAUAAAAAAUAAUAGACAAAAACAAUAAGUUAUAUUUUUUUUUCAAACAUUUAUAAAAGCGGCAAAUUGAAAACAAAUAAUUCGCUUUUAGCAGUCGGUUGGUUCUAUUAGGUCAAAAUAAGUUAAAAAAAAAAAAGAUAUCGCUGAUGUAUUAUUGGCAUACGAAUCAGUUAUUCAACCUUAUUUGAAUUCGUAUUCAUGCGACCUGUAAUCUUACCAUAAGCUGGAGAUGAGUUACGCAUGGGCUAAGCAUGCUCAGUUAUUAGAAAGAAAAUAAUGUCAACAUUGAAAAGUGAAACAAAGGAGCCAACAGAAAGAAUCAUUACUUUGUUGGUUUAAUUCGAUGGCGUCUAGUCUGAAUUAUGUACGAAAUGCUGAAACAUUAUAACGAGUCCAGGCAUUGGUAAUUGCUUGUUUUGGACUUUUGAUAAACUGGAUAUACGUUUUAGUACGGUGUUAAUUAAAUAUGAGAAUUUGAGUCAAAUCGGUUAACACGAAUUUGACAGCUAUUGCCCCUUUAAAUCUCCAUUCAUGCAGUCAAUGAUUUUCAAUUUAAACUACCCGAUACUAAUGAUCCAGUUUGUUAAUAAUUAACAGAUACGAACCAGUAUAUUUUUAAUAAUGUUACACAUUGCUGUGUUGGCUCACAAGGGUUGUUGAAAUUCAAUUACUGCAUUAUUUGAGGAGAUGCCACAAAGAAUGGUUGCAAUGUGCGGAGACUCUAUUUAACACAAAUACAUAAGGUGUUUGCUUCAUCUGAAUCGACAGCCAAGAACUGUAACUUAAAUUCAUAUCAAAAGAAAAUUAUUUUGCAAAAGAAGAACUUAUAUCAGAUUAUGCCAUUCUAAAUUUCAGUGAUCAUCAAAUGAUACUUCAAAAUGUAUGAAGUUUUUAUUCUAUAUGAUGAUACAGAUGUGUUUACUCAUAAAACUCUUUUUCCUGUUUUCGAAAACCAAAAGCUAGAAUAUUUUUCAUUUAAUCAUUUUUCAGAAAAGACAAUAUUUGGCACCCUUGAAACAUUAGAUUCCUUUCCUGAUAAAAUACUUAUCAUAUUGUCGGACGAGUUAUGUCAAAAUGAGAGUGAAAAAUAUGCUAUUUAAUAUGUUCUGCUGUUUGCCAUUCAUAUAUACGGGAAUGCCAGGAAGGUUUUUGAUCACGUUAUAACUUUUAUAACUUCUGGAUCAAUAAGAAUGAUGUAUUUCAACUGUUGAAAACUACUAUCAUUUAUAACAAUUCAAGUUUCCAUCAAGGAUCUUGUAUCAGAAAUCAGAUUAAAGAUAAGGCCAUUUUGUAACAUUCUGGCUUAAAAUGGUAUUGUUGAGACCUUAGGUUUGCAUGGGUUAAGUAUGAAACAUUUAGAAUCACAAAUAUUUGGUCUUAUAAUUUCAACACAAAAUCUCUGUUUACAAAUUGACUUAGACGUUUUUUUUAAAUAUUGACAAAAACAUCAAGAUCACCAAACAUUAGACAUUUUUGGACAAAGUGACGUUCUGAUAAACCCUAACACUAAAGUUUCGAUUGUGCUAGACAAUAACUCGCAUGAAUUUAAAGAACCUAUGUCUGAUAUUUCCAACAUUUGCUCAUCUUUAAUCGGUUAUUGCAAUGAUUUUAAUCGUUGGAAAUUAGCAUGUUCUGUUGCUGGAAAGUAUGGUCCUGCGAGAAAAACUUUCUGAUAAAUAUUUACCCAAAUGUGUGGUACGGAGUAACAAGAAAAGCUGUUACUGAUACUGCGCAGCCUCGUUUUGAAAGAAAACAGUAUUGAAGAAAGAAAGAACGCAUUCAAUUCCUUAUGCAUGGAUUAAAAAUGAUUUAGAUCAGGUUCAAAACAUUGCAAGGGCUGGUUUUUUCUACCCAGGAGUCGGAUCAAAUGGACACUGUUAUUCCUGUGGCUGUUU